rnacentral:rRNA from 1 species
GACGUAGGGUCCGAGCGUUGUCCGGAGUUACUGGGCGUAAAGGGCGCGUAGGCGGCUUUGUGCGUCACACGUGAAAGCCCCCGGCUCAACCGGGGAGGGCCAUUGGAAACUGGGAGGCUUGAGUAUAGGAGAGAAGAGUGGAAUUCCACGUGUAGCGGUGAAAUGCGUAGAGAUGUGGAGGAACACCAGUGGCGAAGGCGACUCUUUGGCCUAUAACUGACGCUGAGGCGCGAAAGCGUGGGGGAGCAAACAGG